UGUGUCUUGUGCUGGGAAGCUCCCCACUGGACACUGGUGCAGUCUCAUAAUUUCUCCACUCAGGACUCGUCAGAGCCACUUCCCCCGACCUGCUGGCUGCACUCCCGGUAACACAACUCCACAUGCAAUUCCAGCUGGGCUCUGGGUUCCCUAACCCGAUCCCUACAGGCUUCAGCGAUGUUCCUGUGUUCCUGCUGGGCAGCCUGCCCCUGUUCCCACCUUCUUUGCAUUCCCUUUCUACUCUGGAGCUCACUCUGGUUCUGUCUGGACCAGAAGCCCUUCCUUCCACGCAGGUGAUGUAGUGUGGGGAGUGCCAGGAGUAGUUCUAAUUCGUUACAGGGCAGGUGAGAAAUAAAGUCCGUUUUCAUUUACAGAAGAAUUAUAUUUACAGCUACAGCAAUACUGAGUUUUCUGAGGAGUGCCUAGAGUCAGAAAGCCCCGGCAUCCCUCAGAGACGAAGCUGUGCCAAUCUGCACUGCGGCCGCAGAGAUUCCCAUCUCUUCCAUGCGAUGUCUCGUCUUGACCAAUCUUGACAGCAGAACUUCUGUACAAAAGAAGAAGAAGAGAAAGUCCAACCGAACCAGGAUCACAAAGAGGUUUGGCGGUGUUGCAUUUUUUAUAAGGAUGCUGCAGAAACGCAGGCUCUAUUUGAGGAGUCUGGGAAGGUUUUCUCAUGGGGAGCUGGGAGGCGUAAGAGCAAAAGCACCUCCAGUGUAGAAACAACCCGGUUCCAGCUCUCGCAGCCCAACGGUGCGGGCAGGCAAUCUCACGUCACAGUGAGAGGCACGCCGCAAGAGCACAGCUUUGAUGGAAUAUCAAAAUUUUCAGCACAAAGAUUCCGAGCAAAUACAAUGGGAUGGGCUAGUUGUGAGAAGCCACAACCUUCUCUCAUGGUAUCAGAUUUUGGAAAGAGUCACAAUUUCACUGCAAGAUGCCGAGGCCUGAACUCACCUAAAGACAUGGCACAAGAACCUUCCAGAUGCAGUUUGGGUGACUUGCAGCUGCCUUCAUCAGAAACAGUGCCAGUCACAGGAGCCCAAUGGGUGAUACUGAGAGGUAAGUCAGCGUCCCCACAGAUAAUUAAAGAGAGGUUCCUUUCUUCUGCAUCUAUCACACAUAAAGCCAAAGGUAACGUGCUCCUUUAUUGCACGUUAGCUGAGUUGAGGCAUCCAUCUCACCUGACACCGGUCACUAAGGGGAGGGCCCAGGGUCUUCAAAGGGAAAGAAACAACACCAGAAACAGCCUGCCAAAAACACGCAUUUUUCUGAGUGCCAGCAAGUCAGAUGCCGGCAGGAACUGGGGAGGGAUGAUGGAGCAGGACCACACAAUCACACAUUGGCUGGGCUGAGAGGGGCCUCUGGAGAUCAUCCAGUCCAAGCCUUGGCUUAAGCAAGGUCACCUAUAGCAGGUUGCUCAGGGCUAUGUCCUGUUGGGUUUUGGAUAUCUCCAAGGAUGGAGACUCCACAACCUCUCUGGGCAACCUGCUCCAGUGCUUGGCCAUCAUCCCCAUAAAUAAAGCUUUAAAUUACAAAAAGAUUUCUUUAAGU
rnacentral:lncRNA from 1 species